AGACGUCGAAACACUGGUUCUCGUCCGAUCACCGAAGUUAUGCAACGGAGAACCUAGUCACUACCUAGAUGGGUGACCGCUUGGGAAUACCAGGUGCUGUAAG